AGAGGCUUUGUCAAUGGGGGCAACCCUGAACAAGCGACGCCGCGUGGCGGAUGAAGGCCCUUGGGUUGUAAACUCCUUUUGUUGGGGAAGAAAGGCGGUCAGGCGAAUAGCCUGGUCGUUUGACGGUACCCGACGAAUAAGCUCCGGCUAACUCCGUGCCAGCAGCCGCCGUAAUACGGGGGGAGCAAGCGUUGUUCGGAAUCCCUGGGCGUAAAGGGCGUGUAGGCGGCCAAAUAAGUGAUACGUGAAAUGCCUCGGCUCACCCGAGGCACUGCAUCUCAUACUGUUUGGCUUGAGUACGGGAGAGGAUGGGGGAAUUCCUGGUGUAGCGGUGAAAUGCGUAGAUAUCAGGAGGAACACCAGUGGCGAAGGCGCCCAUCUGGCCCGAUACUGACGCUGAGGCGCGAAAGCUAGGGGAGCGAAC
rnacentral:rRNA from 1 species